rfam:Medicago truncatula strain A17 chromosome 4, whole genome shotgun sequence.
AACAACUCUAGUUGUCCAGUGUUUGAUUUGUAAAACAGUUUCAGGUACAGGACAAACUGGAGGCAAGGGACAGGACAA